CGCCAGACUCCUACGGGAGGCAGCAGUGGGGAAUAUUGCACAAUGGGGGAAACCCUGAUGCAGCAACGCCGCGUGAGUGAAGAAGUCAUUCGUGAUGUAAAGCUCUAUCAGCAGGGAAGAAAAUGACGGUACCUGAGUAAGAAGCCCCGGCUAACUACGUGCCAGCAGCCGCGGUCAUACGUAGGAUCCGAGCAUUAUCCGGAGUGACUGGGUGUAAAGAGUUGCGUAGGUGGCAUAGUAAGUAGCUAGUGAAAUCUGGUGGCUCAACCAUUCAGACUAUUAGCUAAACUGCUAAGCUCGAGACCGUUAGGGGUAACUGGAAUUUCUAGUGUAGGAGUGAAAUCCGUAGAUAUUAGAAGGAACACCGAUAGCGUAGGCAGGUUACUGGGACAGUUCUGACACUAAGGCACGAAAGCGUAGGGAGCAAACGGGAUUAGAUACCCUCGUACAA
rnacentral:rRNA from 1 species